AGUGAACGCUGGCGGUAGGCCUAACACAUGCAAGUCGAACGGCAGCACAGAGGAGCUUGCUCCUUGGGGUGGCGAGUGGCGGGACGGGUGAGGAAUACAUCGGAAUCUACUCUGUCGUGGGGGAUAACGUAGGGAAACUUACGCUAAUACCGCAUACGACCUACGGGUGAAAGCAGGGGAUCUUCGGACCUUGCGCGAUUGAAUGAGCCGAUGUCGGAUUAGCUAGUUGGCGGGGUAAAGGCCCACCAAGGCGACGAUCCGUAGCUGGUCUGAGAGGAUGAUCAGCCACACUGGAACUGAGACACGGUCCAGACUCCUACGGGAGGCAGCAGUGGGGAAUAUUGGACAAUGGGCGCAAGCCUGAUCCAGCCAUACCGCGUGGGUGAAGAAGGCCUUCGGGUUGUAAAGCCCUUUUGUUGGGAAAGAAAUCCAGCCGGCUAAUACCUGGUUGGGAUGACGGUACCCAAAGAAUAAGCACCGGCUAACUUCGUGCCAGCAGCCGCGGUAAUACGAAGGGUGCAAGCGUUACUCGGAAUUACUGGGCGUAAAGCGUGCGUAGGUGGUUAUUUAAGUCCGUUGUGAAAGCCCUGGGCUCAACCUGGGAACUGCAGUGGAUACUGGAUGACUAGAAUGUGGUAGAGGGUAGCGGAAUUCCUGGUGUAACAGUGAAAUGCGUAGAGAUCAGGAGGAACAUCCAUGGCGAAGGCAGCUACCUGGACCAACAUUGACACUGAGGCACGAAAGCGUGGGGAGCAAACAGG
rnacentral:rRNA from 1 species